GAAGAUUCAGCGCACAGAAGAGGCAAAAUGAGUCAGAUCUGUUUUUCAUACCCCAAAAUGAUUUAAGGUUCCUCUGCCUCUUCCUCAGAUUCCUCCUGAGGCUCGGUGACAAAGCCACCAAAGACCUCAUCUUGGUAUCUGAAGAUAGAUACUGUGAACGUAGAACUUAUUUGCAACAGAGCCCUUAGGAUCAAGGACAAAUGCCUGCAUGAAUCUCUCAAAUCCUGGUUAUUAGAGAGCAGCCCAGUCACCUGGACCAUCACAUCAUCAUUCAGAGUGGCAUGAGCAUCAACGGGGCGAAUCUUAGUGUGGCAAUUGAAGAAGGAACUACCUUUUGGAGCAGGACAUCAUCCAGCUCAGAGAUCCCUGGACCAAAUCUGGAUGGUCACUCAAAGCUGCUUGCCCAUUCCACACGGCUGCAGUUCCUUCUGCCCAACCCAUAUCCCUGAGCCCCCUACGUGUGGAAUCUGCCAGGAUUCUAAAUCCAAAGAUGGAUUUAACUGUCAGCCUGGCAAUCUCAAGAUUUAGAGAAAAUGAAAAGAGCUUUUUUCCCCCUACUUACAAAUAAGAUCAAAGAUACCUAAGUUAAGAGGGCAAAUUAUCUGAGGUUUUCAUACCUUGUUGGAAAGAGAACUGGUACCAGCAUCCUAACUCUGGGUCUGGAGCUCUUCGGCAGUCCUCCUCCUCAUCAGUAUGACUUUCUCCUUUGGCUGGCAAGAAUAUUGUUGAGCAAGUUAAUGUUCAGAACACAUGAGUUUAAAGGAAUUUUUCACCUCAGCCAAGAUUUCUUUAGACUGAACAUCUGAAUGUGGAGCUCAGGAAAAAGCACAAGGAGAGAUGGUUGGCUUCGGUUCAUUUCCAGUGAGUCAAAAGUGCUAUAAAAAAUAGAAGGAUAGGGAUAAUUGUGCCGUGCACGUCAG
rnacentral:lncRNA from 1 species